UGUUAGCGGCGGACGGGUGAGUAACACGUGGAUAACCUACCUAUAAGACUGGGAUAACUUCGGGAAACCGGAGCUAAUACCGGAUAAUAUUUUGAACCGCAUGGUUCAAAAGUGAAAGACGGUCUUGCUGUCACUUAUAGAUGGAUCCGCGCUGCAUUAGCUAGUUGGUAAGGUAACGGCUUACCAAGGCAACGAUGCAUAGCCGACCUGAGAGGGUGAUCGGCCACACUGGAACUGAGACACGGUCCAGACUCCUACGGGAGGCAGCAGUAGGGAAUCUUCCGCAAUGGGCGAAAGCCUGACGGAGCAACGCCGCGUGAGUGAUGAAGGUCUUCGGAUCGUAAAACUCUGUUAUUAGGGAAGAACAUAUGUGUAAGUAACUGUGCACAUCUUGACGGUACCUAAUCAGAAAGCCACGGCUAACUACGUGCCAGCAGCCGCGGUAAUACGUAGGUGGCAAGCGUUAUCCGGAAUUAUUGGGCGUAAAGCGCGCGUAGGCGGUUUUUUAAGUCUGAUGUGAAAGCCCACGGCUCAACCGUGGAGGGUCAUUGGAAACUGGAAAACUUGAGUGCAGAAGAGGAAAGUGGAAUUCCAUGUGUAGCGGUGAAAUGCGCAGAGAUAUGGAGGAACACCAGUGGCGAAGGCGACUUUCUGGUCUGUAACUGACGCUGAUGUGCGAAAGCGUGGGGAUCAAACAGGAUUAGAUACCCUGGUAGUCCACGCCGUAAACGAUGAGUGCUAAGUGUUAGGGGGUUUCCGCCCCUUAGUGCUGCAGCUAACGCAUUAAGCACUCCGACCUGGGGAGUACGACCGCAAGG
rnacentral:rRNA from 1 species